GUGAGCGUAGCUCAAUGGUGGAGCACCGGACUGUGGCUCCGGGGGUUGUGGGUUCAAAUCCCAUCGCUCACCCCA
rnacentral:tRNA from 1 species